rnacentral:rRNA from 1 species
CCUACGGGGUGCAGCAGUGAGGAAUAUUGGUCAAUGGACGAGAGUCUGAACCAGCCAAGUAGCGUGAAGGAUGACUGCCCUAUGGGUUGUAAACUUCUUUUAUAUGGGAAUAAAACGUUCCACGUGUGGGAUUUUGUAUGUAUCAUAUGAAUAAGGAUCGGCUAACUCCGUGCCAGCAGCCGCGGUAAUACGGAGGAUCCGAGCGUUAUCCGGAUUUAUUGGGUUUAAAGGGAGCGUAGGUGGAUUGUUAAGUCAGUUGUGAAAGUUUGCGGCUCAACCGUAAAAUUGCAGUUGAAACUGGCAGUCUUGAGUACAGUAGAGGUGGGCGGAAUUCGUGGUGUAGCGGUGAAAUGCUUAGAUAUCACGAAGAACUCCGAUUGCGAAGGCAGUUCACUGGACUGCAACUGACACUGAGGCUCGAAAGUGUGGGUAUCAAACAGGAUUAGAUACCCCUGUAGUC